GUGCGUGUUGGACUACUCCAAUGUGACACAGUAAGACUGAGCUCUGAGGAUUGAUAUCAAGUGCUUUCUGGAAAUGCAUUUCUGCUAAACUGAAUUUUUCCUGUUUGUAAUAAAUCAUUCCCAAUCCAUACCAUGCAUUAUAGUGUCUAGGGUUGACUCUGAUUGCAUUCCUAAAACAAGCUAGUGCUUUGUCUAGCUCUUCUGUUAACACAAAUUCAUGCCCCAAAAGGGUGUAGGCGUAAGCAUAGUUUGGAUCAACUUGAAUGGCUCUCUGGAAGAACUUGAUUGCAAUGUCGUGCUCUCGUUGCAAGCUGAAGCAGUUCCCUGCAGCACACCAUGCCUCUGGUGAGUUUUUAUCCAUGUCUGUUAAAUCCUUUGAAAGAACUGAAAGAGCAACGUCUUUCUGCAGAUGCCACAGCGUAGUUGAAUAGAUCUCCAUGCCUUCUACUCUGUAGUUUUCAAUCCUCCUCACUUCUGAAAAUAUCCUUUCAGCCUGCAUGUAU
rnacentral:lncRNA from 1 species